UACAGAGGGUGCAAGCGUUGUUCGGAAUUACUGGGCGUAAAGAGUGUGUAGGUGGUGCUCUAAGUUUGGUGUGAAAUCUCCCGGCUCAACUGGGAGGGUGCAUCGAAAACUGGAAUGCUAGAGGAUGGGAGAGGUAAGCGGAAUUCCUGGUGUAGCGGUGAAAUGCGUAGAUAUCAGGAGGAACACCUGUGGUGUAGACAGCUUACUGGACCAUUUCUGACACUGAGACACGAAAGCGUGGGUAGCAAACAGG
rnacentral:rRNA from 1 species